UACGGGGGGGAGCAAGCGUUGUUCGGAUUCAUUGGGCGUAAAGGGUGCGUAGGCGGUCGUGCAAGUCGGAUGUGAAAUCUCAGGGCUCAACCCUGAAACUGCAUUCGAUACUGCGCGGCUAGAGUGCUGGAGGGGAGACUGGAAUUUACGGUGUAGCAGUGAAAUGCGUAGAUAUCGUAAGGAAGACCAGUGGCGAAGGCGAGUCUCUGGACAGCAACUGACGCUGAGGCACGAAGGCCAGGGGAGCAAACGGG
rnacentral:rRNA from 1 species